GGGAUUGUGGCUCAGAGGUAGAGCGCUUGCCUAGCACGCAUGAGGCAUUAGGUUUGAACCUCAGUACCA
rnacentral:tRNA from 1 species